rnacentral:rRNA from 1 species
UACGUAGGUGGCGAGCGUUGUCCGGAUUUACUGGGCGUAAAGCGCGCGCAGGCGGCAGUCUAAGUCCUCUGUGAAAUCACCCGGCUCAACUGGGUGGCUGCGGAGGAGACUGGGCAGCUUGAGGGGCCUAGAGGCCGGUGGAACUCCCGGUGUAGUGGUGAAAUGCGUAGAGAUCGGGAAGAACACCAGUGGCGAAGGCGGCCGGCUGGGGGCGCCCUGACGCUGAGGCGCGAGAGCGUGGGGAGCGAACAGG